CUUUUCUAUGCUUUGCAAUAUUUUAAUUUGCAUUAGAUAUUCUGCUUCCUGUAUAGUUUCAGACUUUGAAUCAAAUAUAUACUUUAUAUAUAUAAGGUAGUUUGUGGUGUAUGUUUAGGAGGUACCAAGUAGGAACUCUGUGUGGGGGUUCUGACCCCACAUUUCCCGGUGAGGGCUUCAAGUUGCUUCCACUCAUGGUAGAUGGGGAAGGAGAGCCAGCAUUUGCAAAGAUCACAUGUUGAGAUAGGAAGCAAGAGAGAUAGGGGAGAUGCCAGGCUCUUUGUAUUGAUCAGCUUUCGCAGGAACUAAUGGAGAAAGAACUCACUGAUUACCAUGAGGAUGGCACUAAGCCAUUCAUGAGGGGAACCUGCCUCAAUGUAACAGCAAUAAGAUACUUACCAGAAUGUGGGCCAGCUGUGAGUAGCAUUUAGAUGGUCAUAAUACUGAUUCAAAAACCAUUUUUUAUGUGUAUGUGUGAAUGUUGGAUGUCAUAGCAUUGUAGGUCAACAGAGCUAAUACUCAGUUUAAGAAUAAGACAGUCAAUAGUUAAUACCUAAUAUUUUAAGAGGAAAAAAAGGAAGAACAUUGGGGCAAGGGAACUACAGAUAUUAUGCAAGUCCAAUAAUGAAAUUAACUCACUCAUCUCCACAGAGUAUACCGUUAUAAGGCUUGGCUGAAGACAAUAUGAUGCAGGAAGAGAAAAUGAGUGUUGUAAAGUUUAGUGAUUUAGAGCAUCUUCAAGGGUUUAUCAGUCAUUUAUACAUCUUUGAGGAAAAAUAUCUGUUCAAGUGUCUUGUCUAUUUACCAUUUAGUCCUGAUAGCUGCCUGUGUGAUUACUAUAUACUUGAGAAUAAUUUUACUAAUAUGCUAUAUGAAGACUACCCAAAUAUAAACAAACAUAACCUAUUCAGAGUUUCCUACAGCAAGCUUGAGUGUGACAGAGAUUCAAAUGCAGGCAGGGGAGUGAGAAUGCUAUAUAGUGAACAAAUAGAAGGUUUCAGGUACACUCUGAUUAGAGGUCAUGAGGAUGCUCAAACUCAGCUAACUAACAGCAGGACAUAUUCUGUGGUUGGUUUUGGGAGUACAUUUGAUUUUACUUGGUUGGUCAUGAGUUGGAAGCAGGGAGAAAAAUAGGUAAGCAGUCAUACGCUGUCACGACCAAGUCCUGACAAUUCUGGGCCAGUUGAUGCAGAGGUUGUGGUUUGCAUUCUUGCGCUUAUUGUGAUAUGCAGUCUGGUCAUUGCUUAUUUGUAUAUUCAGUCUCUAAGCUCUGUGGUCCAUUAUUUCAAACUUGGAUCACAAUAAAGUAAUAAGAUAUUAUUCAUCACUUUAUAGUUGUAUGUUUAAAUGAAAUAAAUAUUAGAUUAGUUGUAAAUGAAAAUGACAGCUCAAUUUGUAACUCCAUUAAUAAUUUUGUUAUAUUUAUGUGAAACAUACUCCCUUAAUGUAUAUUUCCAAACACUCUCAUUAGCUAUCUCUUCACUGUAUAGUCAAAAAUAAUUUCAGAUCGUUGAUGUCAGCAAGAUGGCAGAAUAGAAGGAUAGAGUCUCUCCUUUCCCCCAUGGAGACAAAGACUCAACAACAAUGCAUGAAUCAAUUUCUUUUGUGAGAAAUACAGUUAAAGG
rnacentral:lncRNA from 1 species